rnacentral:lncRNA from 1 species
CGUUUUAAUUCCGAAAAAUGUUCUAAAAUCCAUAUCAAAUGCCAGAAAAAUCCUUUUGACUUCAAACCUUCUUUGAAAAAUAAAUUUUAUCGAAUAUCUUAUGUGAUACGUGUUAUGUGAUAUCUGAUUGAUGUGUUACGUGUCUACAUGAACAUUAUAGGAUUGUUUUGAUAUAUCUUUUGAUCCGUAAGUCGGAUUUAAAUGAAACGAAGGGUAGUUAGGAACUCGUUGCGAAGGUGUGAUAAUAAGAAUAGUAUGAGAUCAUAUAUUGAUAAAGAAUUGUUGUGAUU